GUAAUGUUUGUUUAUUAGCAGAAUGUGGUGCAACAUGCAGGAGAGAUAAAAAUCAGGUUGAGAAACCAGGUUCACAGUGUCAGCGUCAUUUCAAAUAAAGGGGAAGAUUCCAGGAUCCAGCCUGCCUUGGAAGCUAGAACAUCUAAACUGACAAUACUGCAGCAGUAUGUGCUAAUCCUAGAUUGCAAAGUUUCUUUAUGAGUCUCAUGAUCUUCCCACAAUCUUUUAUGGCAAAUCCCAAAUGUGCAUGUAGGGAUUGUGUUGCUGUAGUGUUCACACCAGAUUCCUUUAAUAGGAGAAGGUAACACUUAAAAAAAAUACAGAGGCUACCUGAACAUUUUGUGCAAUACCUGUAUCUUCUUAGGUUCAAGAAAGGUAAUGGAACAUAUAUGAAAUACAGAUGGUCACACUUAAGCCAUACUGUAUUUUAAAAAUAAUGGGGGGGGGUUUGUUCUGUAGAGGUGCGUUCGUACAUUGAAGCAUUAGUUCCCAUAGGAACUAAUGCAAAGCUGGUUAAUACGUACUCUACCACUAGGGGGAGAAUUUUUUUUAACCUAAAAUGACCUAAGGUUAAAAAAAGAGCAGGAAAGGUUUUUUUUUUUCCUGUUCUUAUCUUGGAUUUCUGUUCUCAAGUAGAAGCAAAAUUUAGCAAAUGGAGCUGUUCUUAAGUUGGAUUGUUCUUAAGUAGGGACGUUCUUAAGUAGAGACCCCACUGUACUUCAAAGUAAGUGCUGCAGCUGAAUGUUAGAUCUUCAGCAAGGCCUAUAUGGUGCAUGAUUAGAAUCAUAUCCUCAAGACCAACAGGCUCUGUGGUUUAUCAGUGUUUUGUGAUCUAUCUUGACUAUAAAAUCAUAAAUCAGCCUUGCACGGAGUUAGCCAAUUGAGGCUGAAGUUACUGUUCUUGCCAAUCACACAGGGAAACAUUUGUUAGCUUGAAAGGGAAGAACUCACUUGUUCAACUGUCAGUGUAUCACAGAUGGUUAACAUACGACUGGUUAGACUGACAAGUAACUAUAGGGACCAAUCUGCAGGAUGUCAGUUAAGCGAUCAAGAUCCAUUUCAACUCAAACAGUUGUCAAUUGCUGUGUCACCUGUGACCUAUGCAGCUAUAGCCCACUGGAUGGGAGAAGAGACUCAAAUGGCCUGCUCCAAAUCUGAUGGCAUCGCUGAUAUAGUACAGCCCUUAGAGAACAUUUUUUAAAAAGAGCCUAUUCUAUACAUAAGAUAGUCAUGUUUUAUUGAAGCUCCUGACUUCCAGAAGCCAUUGGCAAGGUCUGCCAUUGCCAGUUGAUCAUUAAGAAGACAAAUAUCACGUCUACAGAAUUAUGUAACUUUAAUGUUGACAGUAAAGAAACUGAAACUGUUAACCAUUUUGUAUACUUUGGUUGUUUCAUUGAUCAAACUGAGACUGCAUCCAAGGAAUAAAAAAAAAGAAUGAGACUUGAAAGGGCA
rnacentral:lncRNA from 1 species